rnacentral:rRNA from 1 species
UGAGGAAUAUUGCACAAUGGGCGCAAGCCUGAUGCAGCGACGCCGCGUGUGGGAUGUAGGGGCUACGCCUCGUAAACCACUGUAGCCCGGGACGAAAAACGCCUUAGAGGCGUUAGACGGUACCGGGAAAGUAAGGGUCGGCUAACUACGUGCCAGCAGCCGCGGUAAUACGUAGGGUGCGAGCGUUAAUCGGAAUUACUGGGCGUAAAGCGUGCGCAGGCGGUUUGUAAGACAGAUGUGAAAUCCCCGGGCUUAACCUGGGAACUGCGUUUGUGACUGCAAGGCUGGAGUACGGCAGAGGGGGGUGGAAUUCCACGUGUAGCAGUGAAAUGCGUAGAGAUGUGGAGGAACACCGAUGGCGAAGGCAGCCCCCUGGGCCUGUACUGACGCUCAUGCACGAAAGCGUGGGGAGCAGACA